rnacentral:rRNA from 1 species
CCAAUAGCGUAUAUUAAAGUUGUUGCAGUUAAAAAGCUCGUAGUUGAAUUUCGGGAUCAAUAUGUCGGUCGUGCUUUUUGGUACGUACUGGCGUCAUUGGUUUCUCCUUUCUGACGAACCAUGAUGUCAUUAAUUUGGUGUUAUGGGAAGUUAGGACUGUUACUUUGAAGAAAUUAGAGUGUUUAAAGCAGGCUCGCGCUUGAAUACAUUAGCAUGGAAUAAUGAAAUAGGACGUUUGACCCUAUUUUGUUGGUUUCUAGGAUCGACGUAAUGAUUAAUAGGGAUAGUUGGGGGCAUUAGUAUUCAAUUGUCAGAGGUGAAAUUCUUGGAUUUAUUGAAGACUAACUACUGCGAAAGCAUUUGCCAAGGAUGUUUUCAUUAAUCAAGAACGAAAGUUAGGGGAUCGAAGACGAUCAGAUACCGUCGUAGUCUUAACCAUAAACUAUGCCGACUAGGGAUCGGAUGGUGUUAUUUUUAAUGACUCAUUCGGCGCCUUACG